rnacentral:rRNA from 1 species
AUUGAACGCUGGCGGCAGGCCUAACACAUGCAAGUCGAGCGCAUGAAGGGAGAUUGUGCCUGGAUUCAGCUGCGGACGGGCGAGUAAUGCCUAGGUAGCUGCCUGGUAGUGGGGGAUAACGUCCGGAAACGGGCGCUAAUCUCGCAUACGUCCUGAGGGUGAAAGUGAGGGUUCUUCGGUCCUCACGCUAUCAGAUGAGCCUAGGUCGGAUUAGCGAGUUGGUGGGGUAAAGUCCUACCAAGGCGACGAUCCAUAACCGGUCUGAGAGGAUGAUUAGGCACACUGGAACUUAGGCACGGUCCCGAAUCCUACGGGAGGCAGCCGUGGGGAAUCUUCCGCAAUGGGGCAAAGCCUGACGCAGCCACGCCGCGUGAGUUAAGAAUGGCUUCGGAUCGGAAAACCCUGUUAUUUGGGAAGAAGGUACGUUUAGUUAAGUCCUUACUUUUUGAAGGUUCCCAACCAGAUAAACACCGCUUACUUCCGG